CUGGACCAGGGGUGGCAAGGUUCUAGAAGGCUACGGAGGACUGAAAACAUGGCUGUUGCCAUUUUUGGUCAUUUCUCUUCUCUUGCCUAUACGAACAACGCUGGACUAUACACCCGGGUCCACAUCACCCCCGGACCAGUGUUUCUGAGGCCGCUUGUGUGCGAUCCAUAACCUGCCUAUUUCCUGCCACCGCGGAGAUUCCGUCCUCUGGGAAUGCUGCUCUCAAUGUUGUCUUGAUUUCCCUUCGUGUUUUGCCACCUACGCCUGUGUCCGCACUCAGUAUCUUGCUUUCGUUUCACAUGAUUUGGAACUUCGGAGAACGGAAACGCGCACUAGGUCUUCCUCGGUGGAAGAGCUUCUCUGGGGUGUUCUCUAAGAAGAACCACUGGAUCCAUGCAGAUACUUACCACGUGAGGCCACGUUACUUUCCAAAGUGAUGACACCAACUCAUCCCCUCCCCCCACCACGAGCACCGACCUAUCCUGCCUGCUUCAACGUCACCAACAACGGAUAGUUUCAGACUUUUAAAUUUCUGCUGCUCUGGCAGGUGUGAAAUGUGUUUCAUUAGGAUUGAACAUUGUGUUUUCCUAAUUGGUAAUUAAAC
rnacentral:lncRNA from 1 species